UUGCAAGGCACCCUACCAGUGAAUAGCAGAUGGCUGUUAUUACUUCAGUACAGAAAAUGUGGCCAGAGAUUCUGCUGCAUAUGCUGGCUGCGUGGAGCGUGGGGGAUAUCUAGCCAUCUUUGAAACUCUGGAAGAAGCAAUGUUAGUGAAAAAUGAGCUUCUUAGAAGGAAUAAAGGUCUAUACUACUAUGUUGGUGGUCGUAACCUCAACAGGAACAAUCCUAAAGGUGAUUGGAGGUGGAUAAAGAAAGGGGAAAUGUUGAAGAUGACCUACUUCAUUUUUCCUAAAGGGCAGCCCAAUGGGACACCCGAAAACCCACAGGAAUGUAUGGGUUUUGAUCCUCAUCUUCAUUACAAUCUCAACGAUCUAUAUUGUGAUAAUUCUUCUGCGAGUACGCAUGCAUAUAUUUGUGAACAAUGAAAAAAAAAAUAUCCAAAAAUCAAUCGUUUGAUAGUUGAUUUGUUUUGUAUUGAUAGUUUUAUUGAUUGAAAGUAAAUGCCCUGAAAAACUACUUUUUUUCCUGUUUGAUACAUCCUAUAUGCACGGUUUACGAAAUGAAUACAAAACUUCAUUGAAUAAAAAAAAAACGCUUUUAGCUUUUUUCUUUAAAUAUUUUUAGAUUUAUGUUCUCUUUUCAGUUCAAAACUUUUGAUUUUAUUGAUACCUUUCGUAUGUACGGUCGUUUUGUGUGUGUGUGUGUGUGUCUUUAGUUUGGUUUUCGUGGUCCGAUAUUUUGUUUUAUGUAUAUAUUAUUUGUCUUUACAUUACAGAAUAUGUUAUGUUAUCAUCAGUUUUUGGAAUGUAAAAUGUACACCAAUAAAAAAUAUCACAGGGAUUUUUAGAAAAUAUGUGUGGUCAAAGGAUAUAUGAAUUAUAUUGAAUGUAUUAUUAACUACAGGACAAUGUAUGAAAGAUUAUAAAAUAUUUAUACAAAAACAUCGUGGACAGCUCUGCCAAAACAAACUGUACAGAAAAACAAAACAUAAAAUUCUGUGUGUGAGAUUUUAAAAUUGUAAAUUAGUGAAUUGAUGUUUAUUAUUGGAGAAAUCUAUCUGCUUACAAACUAAUUCUGUUGUUAUCUGUCAGAAAUAUUUAAGAAUAAAAAAACAAUUAUGAAUAAUUAAAAAAUCAGCAUUAAAGUUAAAAUUAGUUGCUUGUAUUACGUAUAUAAUUAUGUUCUCACAUAUUGUAUUUAUUCAAGUAUAUCAUUCUCCGCUCAUAUUUUAGAUCAUGUAUCAACUGUAUUUCCUGUACACUUUUAUCUGAAAAAAUUGUGUAGCCUGAAGUCUAUUUUGUAAAAGUUCUUAUUACUGGUGCAUAUAAAAUCACCAUCAUUAUAUGUAUGUAUCCUAGCUUUGAGAUUCAUUUACUUCCGGAAUAAAGUAGUAUUACUAAAUAAAAAUGCCAUACAUCAAAUGAUAA